CUGAGAAAGAAACUGGAGAACUGUUUCAUGGAUGCAGAGCUUCAGGGCAGGAAAACAGAAAUGCUCAGAAGUUUGGCUGGACAACAAUGUGAAUACAUUUCACACUAAGGAAUUAGAAAUGGUUACCCUGGGUAAUUUUAUUUACACGUAAUAUGCUUUAUAUCACAGUUGAAAGCUUAAAUCGUUCAUUGGCAACUCUAGUUCUCGAGGGCGGUGACGACGUCAUGAGCACCUUUAGAUUCCAGACAUCUAGCACAGCGCCGGACCACGGUGCCGACAAGCUGAGGGUGAGCUUGGUGAACACUCGUCACCAAGAUGACUACACAUCGGGCAGCCGAGCAGAGCAGCCACUCGGGAGAGCAGGGAAGGACUCAUCCUGAAUGUGCUGGGUGAGCGAGAGUAGAGCGCAGGCCAACGUGAGGAAUGCAGAACACAGCGUCAGUGCGUUCCCAAGAGUAGAGCGAAGAAGAGUGAGAUCUGUCCAGCAGAUCCAAGGUGGCAAAGCGGAUGCGUGACCCCCAGGAGUGAAGUGUGAUAUCUAAUCGGUCAGACUCCGUGCGUGUCACCCUGUAAGGCCCUGUGACGUAGGUAACCCCCAGUAUGUGUGAAGUGACAAACCCGAACCAGUGCCACGGACCCCAGUUAGAACCGUAUAAAAGAGAGCGAGAAGACCAGCUCGUCGCACUCGGCGACCGAUCCAGCUCCAGGGCAACCUGCCAGGCGGGAUCUCGGAGGAGACCUCGGCGGAGACCUCGGACGCUGCCCGGUGUGGACCCCGGAUCACCGCCGAGGCCACCAGACGGACAACCGCCAUCGCCAGGAGAGGAGAAACAAAGUCGCGCUCCUCGGACUUGUGCAGCCAGAUGUAUCAGAGGAAUGCCCCGCCCUGGGCCACCUACACACAGACUCAGAGCAUGCUCCGGGGCGAGCCCAGUCCUAGGCGUCGUCGAUCCCAACCUGCAUUUACUUUGGAAACAUGCUGUGGGGUCCAUACAAAGCCACAACAUCAUGCGCUGCACACUGCUGAGGCUACCAUCUUGCAGGAAUACCAGCUGAGCUGGGAAAGAUGAAAAUUCGAAGCAGCAAAGAGGGAAUUCGUCCACUGCACCUGGUUCUGGGAAAUGCUUGUGAAAUCUCCACGUUCUGCAAAGCAAAUGAGCUGCUUGGGAACAGAGUUAGGAAAACAAUUUAAAACAAAAUAAAUAAACAGAUCUCAGGAGAUCAGUGGUCUGGAAAGAAUUCCUCUGCGACAGUAACAAGCCCUGAAUAGAAACAGUAAGUAACUUUUCAACCAAUUGUAAUCCAAGCGUAAAACACUCAAACACAGGCCACAGCAUGCACACAGCUCUGUAGAACCACAGUGGUUCUGAAAAUCAGGAAGGCAUAUGCGACUCCUGAAACGGGUUCACCACCCCUGAGGAUUCAUCCCAGACAUUCUGUCCUCCCCGCGAGAGCCUGCCAACUCGGACUGAGCCUUCUUCCCCGGGGAAAAUACUGCUUUCCUAUGGUUAGGAUUAGAGAGAAAUGAAAUUCUAAAACUUCUCCA
rnacentral:lncRNA from 1 species